rnacentral:rRNA from 1 species
AACCUGGUUGAUCCUGCCAGUAGUCAUAUGCUUGUCUUAAAGAUUAAGCCAUGCAUGUCUAAGUAUAAGCAUUUAUACCGCGAGACUGCGAACGGCUCAUUAAAACAGUUAUGGUUUAUUUGAUGGUUCCUUUGCUACUUGGAUAACCGUAGUAAUUCUAGAGCUAAUACAUGCACGAAGGGGCGACUUACGAAGCCCUGUAUUUAUUAGAUUAAAGCCAACCGCCUCCGGGUGCUCGUGGUGAAUCAUAGUAACUAAUCGGAUCGCCGGCUCUAUGCCAGCGACGUGUCAUUCAAAUUUCUGCCCUAUCAGCUUUAGAUGGUAGGAUAUGGGCCUACCAUGGCGGUGACGGGUAACGGAGAAUUAGGGUUCGAUUCCGGAGAGGGAGCCUGAGAAACGGCUACCACUUCUAAGGAAGGCAGCAGGCGCGCAAAUUACCCAAUCCUGACUCAGGGAGGUAGUGACAAGAAAUAACAAUAAACCGGCUUAUGCCGGUUUAAUUGGAAUGAGUACAAUUUAAACAUCUUAACGAGGAACAAUUGGAGGGCAAGUCUGGUGCCAGCAGCCGCGGUAAUUCCAGCUCCAAUAGC